rnacentral:rRNA from 1 species
UUAAAUUGAAGAGUUUGAUCAUGGCUCAGAUUGAACGCUGGCGGCAGGCCUAACACAUGCAAGUCGAACGGUAACAGGAAGCAGCUUGCUGCUUUGCUGACGAGUGGCGGACGGGUGAGUAAUGUCUGGGAAACUGCCCGAUGGAGGGGGAUAACUACUGGAAACGGUAGCUAAUACCGCAUAACGUCGCAAGACCAAAGAGGGGGACCUUCGGGCCUCUUGCCAUCGGAUGUGCCCAGAUGGGAUUAGCUAGUAGGUGGGGUAACGGCUCACCUAGGCGACGAUCCCUAGCUGGUCUGAGAGGAUGACCAGCCACACUGGAACUGAGACACGGUCCAGACUCCUACGGGAGGCAGCAGUGGGGAAUAUUGCACAAUGGGCGCAAGCCUGAUGCAGCCAUGCCGCGUGUAUGAAGAAGGCCUUCGGGUUGUAAAGUACUUUCAGCGGGGAGGAAGGGAGUAAAGUUAAUACCUUUGCUCAUUGACGUUACCCGCAGAAGAAGCACCGGCUAACUCCGUGCCAGCAGCCGCGGUAAUACGGAGGGUGCAAGCGUUAAUCGGAAUUACUGGGCGUAAAGCGCACGCAGGCGGUUUGUUAAGUCAGAUGUGAAAUCCCCGGGCUCAACCUGGGAACUGCAUCUGAUACUGGCAAGCUUGAGUCUCGUAGAGGGGGUAGAAUUCCAGGUGUAGCGGUGAAAUGCGUAGAGAUCUGGAGGAAUACCGGUGGCGAAGGCGGCCCCCUGGACGAAGACUGACGCUCAGGUGCGAAAGCGUGGGGAGCAAACAGGAUUAGAUACCCUGGUAGUCCACGCCGUAAACGAUGUCGACUUGGAGGUUGUGCCCUUGAGGCGUGGCUUCCGGAGCUAACGCGUUAAGUCGACCGCCUGGGGAGUACGGCCGCAAGGUUAAAACUCAAAUGAAUUGACGGGGGCCCGCACAAGCGGUGGAGCAUGUGGUUUAAUUCGAUGCAACGCGAAGAACCUUACCUGGUCUUGACAUCCACGGAAGUUUUCAGAGAUGAGAAUGUGCCUUCGGGAACCGUGAGACAGGUGCUGCAUGGCUGUCGUCAGCUCGUGUUGUGAAAUGUUGGGUUAAGUCCCGCAACGAGCGCAACCCUUAUCCUUUGUUGCCAGCGGUCCGGCCGGGAACUCAAAGGAGACUGCCAGUGAUAAACUGGAGGAAGGUGGGGAUGACGUCAAGUCAUCAUGGCCCUUACGACCAGGGCUACACACGUGCUACAAUGGCGCAUACAAAGAGAAGCGACCUCGCGAGAGCAAGCGGACCUCAUAAAGUGCGUCGUAGUCCGGAUUGGAGUCUGCAACUCGACUCCAUGAAGUCGGAAUCGCUAGUAAUCGUGGAUCAGAAUGCCACGGUGAAUACGUUCCCGGGCCUUGUACACACCGCCCGUCACACCAUGGGAGUGGGUUGCAAAAGAAGUAGGUAGCUUAACCUUCGGGAGGGCGCUUACCACUUUGUGAUUCAUGACUGGGGUGAAGUCGUAACAAGGUAACCGUAGGGGAACCUGCGGUUGGAUCACCUCCUUACCUUAAAGAAGC